rnacentral:rRNA from 1 species
AUGAACGCUAGCGGCAGGCCUAAUACAUGCAAGUCGAGGGGCAGCGGGAGUAGCAAUACUUGCCGGCGACCGGCGCACGGGUGCGUAACACGUAUGUAAUCUACCUUUUACUGGAGAAUAGCCCGAAGAAAAUUCGGAUUAAUGCUCCAUAAUAUUAUUGGGAGGCAUCUCUUGAUAAUUAAAGUUCCGACGGUAAAAGAUGAGCAUGCGCGAUAUUAGCUAGUUGGUGAGGUAACGGCUCACCAAGGCGACGAUAUCUAGGGGUACUGAGAGGUUACACCCCCCACACUGGUACUUGAGACACGGACCAGACUCCUACGGGAGGCAGCAGUAAGGAAUAUUGGACAAUGGUCGCAAGACUGAUCCAGCCAUGCCGCGUGCAGGAUGAAUGCCCUAUGGGUUGUAAACUGCUUUUGUACGGGAAUAAACCCCUCUACGUGUAGAGGGCUGAAUGUACCGUAAGAAUAAGGGUCGGCUAACUUCGUGCCAGCAGCCGCGGUAAGACGAAGGACCCAAGCGUUAUCCGGAUUCAUUGGGUUUAAAGGGUGCGUAGGCGGGUUGAUAAGUCAGUGGUGAAAGCCCAACGCUUAACGUUGGAACUGCCAUUGAUACUGUCGAUCUUGAAUGUGUUUGAUGUGGGCGGAAUAUGACAUGUAGCGGUGAAAUGCUUAGAUAUGUCAUGGAACACCGAUUGCGAAGGCAGCUCACAAAGCCACUAUUGACGCUGAGGCACGAAAGCGUGGGGAUCAAACAGGAUUAGAUACCCUGGUAGUCCACGCCGUAAACUUUGAUCACUCGCUGUUGGCGAUACACUGUCAGCGGCUAAGCGAAAGCGUUAAGUGAUCCACCUGGGGAGUACGAUCGCAAGAUUGAAACUCAAAGGAAUUGACGGGGGCCCGCACAAGCGGUGGAGCAUGUGGUUUAAUUCGAUGAUACGCGAGGAACCUUACCAGGGCUUGAAAGUUAGCGACGAAUCGUGAAAGCGGUUCUCUCUUCGGAGCGCGAAACUAGGUGCUGCAUGGCUGUCGUCAGCUCGUGCCGUGAGGUGUUGGGUUAAGUCCCGCAACGAGCGCAACCCCUAUUUCUAGUUGCCAACAGGUAAUGCUGGGGACUCUAGAGAAAACUGCCCCGCGCAAGCGGUGAGGAAGGUGGGGAUGACGUCAAGUCAUCACGGCCCUUACGUCCUGGGCUACACACGUGCUACAAUGGCGGAGACAACGGGCAGCUACACCGCGAGGUGAUGCUAAUCUCUAAACUCCGUCUCAGUUCGGAUUGAAGUCUGCAACUCGACUUCAUGAAGUUGGAAUCGCUAGUAAUCGCGUAUCAGCAAUGACGCGGUGAAUACGUUCCCGGGCCUUGUACACACCGCCCGUCAAGCCAUGGAGUUGGGAGUACCUAAAGUCGAUUGCCGCAAGGCGUUGCCUAGGGUAAAAACCAAUGACUGGGGCU